GAUGAACGCUGGCGGCGUGCCUAAUACAUGCAAGUCGAGCGAACAGAUAAGGAGCUUGCUCCUUUGACGUUAGCGGCGGACGGGUGAGUAACACGUGGGUAACCUACCUAUAAGACUGGGAUAACUUCGGGAAACCGGAGCUAAUACCGGAUAAUAUUUCGAACCGCAUGGUUCGAUAGUGAAAGAUGGUUUUGCUAUCACUUAUAGAUGGUCCCGCGCCGUAUUAGCUAGUUGGUAAGGUAACGGCUUACCAAGGCGACGAUACGUAGCCGACCUGAGAGGGUGAUCGGCCACACUGGAACUGAGACACGGUCCAGACUCCUACGGGAGGCAGCAGUAGGGAAUAUUCCGCAAUGGGCGAAAGCCUGACGGAGCAACGCCGCGUGAGUGAUGAAGGUCUUCGGAUCGUAAAACUCUGUUAUUAGGGAAGAACAUACGUGUAAGUAACUGUGCACGUCUUGACGGUACCUAAUCAGAAAGCCACGGCUAACUACGUG
rnacentral:rRNA from 1 species